CAUGUAGGCGGAUUAAUAAGUUUGAAGUGAAAUCCUAUAGCUUAACUAUAGAACUGCUUUGAAAACUGUUAAUCUAGAAUGUGGGAGAGGUAGAUGGAAUUUCUGGUGUAGGGUAAAUCCGUAGAGAUCAGAAGGAAUACCGAUUGCGAAGGCGAUCUACUGGAACAUUAUUGACGCUGAGAUGCGAAAGCGUGGGAGCAAACA
rnacentral:rRNA from 1 species